CCCAGGGAGCUUAGCACUGCAAUAUCAUCAGCAGCCCUUCAAAAGCAAAUCUUUCUUUGAAGACAAAUCAUUUAAAGAAAACUGGAUGAAAACUUGCAGAGAGUUCUGAAUCUCAUAGGUGCUGGGCUCUCCUUGGAUCAGCGGGUGGCCAACGUGGAGGUGAGUUGCGUGACCUUCUCUCUCCUCAAAUGCCGAAAACUCUGUCCACACGCCACUGAUAACAGCAACAGAUAUGCAACCAAAUGAAAUAUGCCUCCUCUUGGCAGCUGCUACAGAACGACGCUGCAGAAAGGAAAGGUCUUUGUGUGAAAAUGUAUCAUUCUUGUAUAUCCAAAAUAAAUUCUCAUGUCAAGACCGCCCACUCGGGCAAAACAAGCCUCUCUGCCUCAUCCAGUUGCAUCAAGUGUGCUUCAAAGUUGAGAAAAUGUGAG
rnacentral:lncRNA from 1 species